UGCCCAGCAACUCCUAUCCCUACCUCCUCACGGUACUGGCCGGGGUACGAGUAACCUUAGGGAAGAUCGGGUAACCAACCUCGGUGGAAGCUUUGUUCAUAUGCUGACAGGAAAGG
rnacentral:ribozyme from 1 species